UGCAGCCAGCAGCAUCGCAAGUCUCUAGGCUGACAUUUUUUGUAUAAAUGGACGCACAAGGUUAGAUUCUUAGUUGUCGUGGUUGUGUUUGUUCAUCGUGUAAUGUAUCUAUGUAACAUAAAAGAGUGGGUUUGUGUGCAUUAUUGCAUGUGAUAAGCACCCUUGGAUGUCUCAUCGGUCGUGUCAUGAGCAUGUCGUGCAGCUCCAUAUGUCACUUCAGUAGUGGGCCUGGGUGCAGCAGACCCAGGAGACAGCCAUACAGUCAUAGUGUGGGUGUGUGAGGGAGAAAUGCAGAAAUCAGUCAAUAACUGCACAUCAGGGGAACGGUCGGCUGCAGACAGCAACCUGCAACCUGCAACCUGACUGCCAGUGCUUCAGCAGGUGAGCAGUUCUGACAGUGCAGAGUCAGCAGUUUUAGCUGAUGUGGAGAGACUUGCACUCAGUGGAAAAAGCUUCUAUUGAGUGGAAUUUUUACUUUACUUUACUUCCACUCUACCUGAGUGGAAGUAAAGUAAAGAAUCCAACCUGGCUCCUUUUUUAGUACUAUAAGCUGCUAAAACAGCUGCAACAAGUAUCCACACAGUGAGACAGGAAUGAACCAGUCUAACAAAUCAAACUGCAUUCUUUAAACAUCGGACAGAAUGAUGGAAAUGACAGACAAGAGACAGAGAGGGAGGUAUACUAAGGCCAAGGACAGUGUCAAGAGAGAACAAAAUAUGAGGACAGGAAAGAAAAUUAAUAGAUCGACAGAUUGUGUAUUUUUCUGUAACAGUGCCAAAGAGAUUCAAAAGACAGAAAGCAUGAAAAAGAAACAGAGGACGUGAGACAGAGCGAAAGCUGGCCCAUAUGCAGCAGCGAGUAGCCAUUGCAGGCCUUUUGGUCACGUUUUUUUUUUUUUUUUUUACCUCUGUGCUUUUUCACUGAAGGGACGAUGCAGCAGUGCAGAGUCACGAACGCAGACAUGCAUGCAUAUAAAGCCAUGCCUGAUUUGCAAGGGAAAGCUGAGAGUCAUGCUUGCUGUCCCUGCAGCAGAUUGUUGCAAUGCCUCACUGCCUUCCCUGCUGCAGGCCCAGACGAUGACCACACAGCGUGAUGAAACCCCAGAGCAUCAGAACAGGGUUAGUUAGGGUUAGCAGGCAGUCAGUUCCAACAGUCUUCAAACAUGCCACUGUUUUUUUUUUUUUACAUAUUUAAGCUAUCUGAUAAUACUGCAGAUAACUAACAUAGCUUAAAUUUAAUUCAGCAGUGACUAAUCAUGUUUGUGGUUAUUUGGUGUUUGUAACCUUCUUGAGCUACCAGAUGGGUGGGGUAAAGUUUCAAGUACACAUUCUGUUCCCAGUGUGAAAAAUCCCACCAUUACUGCACUGGCAGGAUGUGAGAGCAAAUGUUACCAGUUUUACUUGCAUUACUGUCUGACCGAGGUCUGGUUUGUAAAGACCAAUUGGCACAGCUUAUAGGCCUGUGAAUAGCCGACUAAUGCAUGUAAAUUCAGAUUAAUGUUGGUUGUUAACCUUUUACCACCUUCUGUUUAGCCGGGUAUCACCAUGUAGAAAUUUCACAGCUAAUAUUAUGAAAAGUAAUCAUAUGUUUUUAUAUUAUAUAUGGACAGUCAAUUAUAAAAGUAUAGUAUAAAGCUGAAACAUUAAGAAUCUGAUUGCCUUCCUAAAUUCAAAGCACUUUGGCAGUACAACAAUUUAAGGAAUUAUUGGAGACUUUAUUUCCAAAUUCAUUGGAAGUAUCUAACAAUAUAAAAUAAUCCAUUUGUUUUCAUUUACGUGGACCAGACUCUAAAAAUGUGAGGAUGGGUGUUAGGGUUAAAUAAAGCUAUAAAGGCGAUAUGCACAAUGACUCAGUAAAAGCUGUUUGGGGAAGCUUUUUUUAAAAAAAAUUAUGAGGUAUAUGUUUAAUUUAAUAAUAAGUUUAAAACUAUAGCACAAACACAAAUCACAUUAAAUGUAUUUUAUUAUUUUCCUGUCUCUGUUAACUCAUUUUUGUAAUGCAUAUAGACUAUAUAUAUACAGACAGUAUAUAUAUACAUAUACAUAUAAGUGUUGGGCAAUGUAUAUCAUAUAGGAAAUGAACAGUAAGUAUAGAAUUUGAUCCUGAAGCCCACGCUGCUGUUCAUGAGGGUGACUUUGUCACUGUGGUGCUGCUAAUAAAGUUAUUUUCAAUCUCGUUUCAACCAAAAUGGCUGCCAGUAGUAUCCUUUCUUAACCUCUGUCAUACCUUCAUGUUUAUCACUCCUUCCUGCCAAACACCUCCCCACACCACCCCGCCUUGCAGUACAAGAACGGAGGGGAGGGAGAAAUCCCCCCAAUUCUCGGUCUCCACAGCAACAGCAGUCAGAUGACCUUGUCUCCGACUUGUUCUGCUGAGUCAGAAAUGGAGGGAUGGGUGAGGGGGACACAGUGAGGAAAGAAUAGCAGGAAGAAAGAAAGAGAGGAAGCGAGAGAUGACACAGAGAGAAAGGUUUCUAAAGAGCCAUUGUGAAGCUCAUCGUGUGGUGACUGUGGCCAUCGCCAUCUUGGCAGCCCAAAAUGGAAAUGGGCAAAGACAUGGAGCGUGGAUGGAGCUGAGGUAGGCUAAAUGAACUGAUACUACUGAUAACAUCCACCUGUAACGACACCAACCCUUCACUCAAAGCAGCCAUGCUCUUAAUUAUGCAUAACUUAUAAUUAAUAUAAUUCCAACGCCACUACAGUUGUCAUGAAUGGAGAUUAGCUACAGAGACUGAAACCGUUUCUUAUAUCAGGCUGAAAAGCUGUAAAGUUGGGCAUUUUAAUAUGGGACCUUAUGGAGAUUGAUUCCUGUUCUGUAGCCUCAAGUGGCCAUUUGAGUAACUACCGUUUUUGAUGCAUUAGCUUAAUUUAUCAUUUGGGUGCAACAAACAGGGAGAUGUCAAUCGAAGGCCGUUUGUACACACACACACACACACACAGACACACACACACACACGCAUACACACAGACACACACAGUUAUAUGGAUAAAUAAAAUUGGAAAAUUUUAAAUAAACAGAUUUUAAAGAA